rnacentral:rRNA from 1 species
GGGGAAUUUUCCGCAAUGGGCGAAAGCCUGACGGAGCAAUACCGCGUGAGGGAUGACGGCCUAUGGGUUGUAAACCUCUUUUUUCAGGGAGGAAUCAAAUGACGUGUACCUGAAGAAUAAGCAUCGGCUAACUCCGUGUCAGCAGCCGCGGUAAGACGGAGGAUGCAAGUGUUAUCCGGAAUCACUGGGCGUAAAGCGUCUGUAGGUGGUCAAAUAAGUCAACUGUUAAAUCUUGAGGCUCAACCUCAAAAUCGCAGUCGAAACUAUUAGACUAGAGUAUAGUAGGGGUAAAGGGAAUUUCCAGUGGAGCGGUGAAAUGCGUAGAGAUUGGAAGGAACACCGAUGGCGAAGGCACUUUACUGGGCUAUUACUANCACUCAGAGACGAAAGCUAGGGUAGCAAAUGGGAUUAGAUACCCCAGUUAGUC